rnacentral:rRNA from 1 species
AGGACGAACGCUGGCGGCGUGCUUAACACAUGCAAGUCGAACGGAUUAGUGGGAGCUUGCUCCUGGCUAAGUGAGUGGCGGACGGGUGAGUAACGCGUGAACAAUCUGUCUCAUACAGGGGGAUAACGCAUCGAAAGAUGUGCUAAUACCGCGUAGGACCACGGAAUCGCAUGGUACUGAGGUGAAAGGCGAAAGCCGGUAUGAGGUGAGUUCGCGUCUGAUUAGAUAGUUGGUGAGGUAACGGCCCACCAAGUCAACGAUCAGUAGCCGACCUGAGAGGGUGAUCGGCCACAUUGGGACUGAGACACGGCCCAGACUCCUACGGGAGGCAGCAGUGGGGAAUAUUGGGCAAUGGGCGAAAGCCUGACCCAGCAACGCCGCGUGAAGGAAGAAGGUUUUCGGAUCGUAAACUUCUGUCCUAUGAGAAGAUAAUGACGGUAUCAUAGGAGGAAGCCCCGGCUAACUACGUGCCAGCCGCCGC